ensembl:snoRNA SNORD58 Small nucleolar RNA SNORD58
CUGCGCUGAUGACCAUCUUAGGACACCUUUGGAUUAAAGAUGAAACAAAUCCGUAUGAUCUGAGCAGC